rnacentral:misc_RNA from 1 species
GUCAUUUUCAGGAUCUCAUGUUUAAAUCUUUCCAUGACUGGUUUGGGCAACCAUGUUGGAACUACAAUCCCAUCCUCCCCAUUUCUUUUUCUGAAUCUUGCAAAAGUACUUAUAUAAGGAAAGCCACCAAUAGGACCUCCAUAGAUUGGCUUUCCCCAUCCAAAAUCAAUAUCUGCAAGCCCAGAACGACUUGUAUCAACAACGAGGAAGUUCCAACGAGUAACAAAGUUUGGUCGUCCCUGAAUCACCAAAAGGUCUGUCACUGACCUUACGUACUCUUCAUUCAUUUGUUUCUUGCAUUUCCUCACCAGCUCAACUGCAUACCCUAAUGGAUUUUU